AUUGCUUCUCCGCUCUGUGAGCUAAGAUCAUGUUUAGUAUCUGUUCUUUGAAGUGUAAUUUUUUUAACGGUCUCUAAACUUAGACCUAUGAAAUUACAUGCAUCGUUCGCCUACAAAUUUU
rfam:Schistosoma mattheei strain Denwood, Zambia genome assembly, scaffold: SMTD_scaffold0008863